UACGGGGGGGGCAAGCGUUGUUCGGAAUUACUGGGCGUAAAGGGCUCGUAGGUGGCCAACUAAGUCAGACGUGAAAUCCCUCGGCUUAACCGGGGAACUGCGUCUGAUACUGGAUGGCUUGAGUUCGGGAGAGGGAUGCGGAAUUCCAGGUGUAGCGGUGAAAUGCGCAGAUAUCAGGAAGAACACCCGUGGCUAAGGCGGCUCUCUAGUACGGUACUGACGCUGAGACGCGAAAGCGUGGGGAGCGAACAGG
rnacentral:rRNA from 1 species